UACGUAGGGUGCAAGCGUUAAUCGGAAUUAUUGGGCGUAAAGCGUGCGCAGGCGGCUUUGCAAGUCAGAUGUGAAAUCCCCGGGCUCAACCUGGGAACUGCAUUUGUGACUGCAUGGCUAGAGUGCGGCAGAGGGGGAUGGAAUUCCGCGUGUAGCAGUGAAAUGCGUAGAUAUGCGGAGGAACACCGAUGGCGAAGGCAAUCCCCUGGGCCUGCACUGACGCUCAUGCACGAAAGCGUGGGGAGCAAACAGG
rnacentral:rRNA from 1 species